GUUUGGAGUUCAAUACCAAACAAGUUUUUAGAUCUUAAAUUCACUAUUUGAAAACUCAUGUUUUUAAACAGAAUCAUAGUUUUUUAAUUUACUCUUUUGAAUAGGAUACCAAACAAGGCCUUAGUGUCUGAAGAUGAAGGAAAGGAAAUGGAAGAUGAUGAUGAAGCGAGUUUCGGAUUGAAGAAGAAAAGAUUUCGGUCGAUUUCGGAUCUGUCCAAGUUGAUAGAGCCUCUUAAUCUUGUUAUUGUUGCGAAGGAAACAAAAAGGAAGAGGAGGAUGAUUAUGUCAAAUUAAUUAGACUUCCAAGUGGUUGUUGUUCUUGUAAUUAGCCUCACCCUUUAAGUGAAUGAUAUCUAUUUAUUAUUAUUCAUAUCAAACUUUUCUUGAGGAUGAACAUUCUCUCUUCGCUUCACUCUUCAAUUGGUUUCUUUAUUUUCUAUUUUGGUUCGAAAAAUUGGUCAAUUAAUAUCACAAUUAUCUCUAUUAUUAUAAAGCAAGGCCAAAAACAGUGGAGGUCACAGACUUCACCAAAAAAAUUUGGACGAAAACUCCCCCAAAACAAAAAAAAAAAUUCAUAACUAUCCUCCAACUUAAUCAAUCCCAUAACCUCCUUUAUAACUCAAAUAUCCUCUCUGAGUAGUUUUCUUUUGCCUCAUCCUCUCUCUAUAUUACAAGAUUAUAUGGUGGUGUUCCUUUUCUUCAAAUUAAAGUUUGUUGCAGGAAAUUGUAGAUGCAAAUCUCUGUUUGGCUUCUGAGAAGAUGAAGGAAAAGAAUCCAAAUAGUUGAAAGAUGAUGCACAAUCUUUAAGUGGUGCAUAGCACAAAUGAAGGACUCUCACGGGUGUAGGAGCGCUUGUAGAGAGGCUAAUAUUAUAAUAUAUCAACAGUCAC